UACGUACUGUGUGAAUGUUAUUCGGAAUCACUGGGCUUACAGGGUGCGUAGGCGGCUAACCAGGUCCGAUGUGAAAUCCCCUGGCUUAACCGGGGAACUGCAUUGGAAACCGGCUAGCUUGAGUAGGUUAGAGGUGCACGGAACUUCUGGUGGAGCGGUGAUAUGUGUUGAUAUCGGAAGGAACACCAGAGGCGAAAGCGGUGCACUGGGGUCUGACUGAUGCUGAGGCACGAAAGCCAGGGGAGCGAAUGGG
rnacentral:misc_RNA from 1 species